AUUUGAUCCCUUCUCAUCGCCAUUUCCAACCACUUCUGGAGUCCUCCCAUGGGUCCGCCCAUCUACUACGCCCCCUUCAAAUCUAGGGUUUGAGCCUACAAGAAGAGAGGAUAAGUGGCGGAAACUUGAUGUCUAGAUCAAGUAUGGAGCCCAGGCGACAACCAUGGAAUCACUCGAUCGAUCAAACACGACGAAUUAGGUCAAUCAUGUCUGCUUAGAUCACGCACCAUCAUUUACGUCUGAUGAAGGACGACGGGGCCAUUACCUGCUGUCACUGGAUUCCAACCAUAUUUGACGUCCGGAAUUUCAGGCCCAGGGGAAGAUUGGAUGCUGAGAAGAGGAAGGCAAUCGAGGGUCUCAGGACUACUCAUCCAUGCAAUCAGGUAUACCAUCCUUCUUUUCGCAAAAAAAAAAAGUAACCAUCCUUCUGUUUCGACCAUCCCCAUGAAAGAAACCAUGAACAGCAUCUGCUGUGUUAACAAACAUAGAUGUUUAGUGUGAUACUUAGAGUCUGUUUCGAUACAUGAGCUAAUCAACCAGGAGAGCUAAUAGUUAGGCUAAUUUUUUAGCCAAGUCUCAAACUAGUUGUUAGCCAACUAGCUUUUUUUAGACAUGUUAGCCAACUAGUUUGGCUAAUUUUUAGCCCCAACUAGUAUAGCUAUGUCUAUGUGUAUCCAAAUAGUACGUACCAUGCUUGUACACUGCAU